AAUGAACGCUGGCGGCAGGCCUAACACAUGCAAGUCGAACGGGUCCUUCGGGACUAGUGGCGGACGGGUGAGUAACGCGUGGGAACAUGCCCUUUGGUACGGAAUAGCCUCGGGAAACGGGGAGUAAUACCGUAUGUGGUCGAGAGACGAAAGAUUUAUCGCCAAAGGAUUGGCCCGCGUUGGAUUAGGUAGUUGGUGGGGUAAUGGCCUACAAAGCCGACGAUCCAUAGCUGGGUUGAGAGGAUGAUCAGCCACACUGGGACUGAGACACGGCCCAUGAUCCAACGGGAGGCAGCAGUGCGGAAUAUUACACAAUGCGGUAAACCCUGAUCUAGCCAUGCUGCGUGAUCGAUGAAAGCCUUAGGGUUGUAAAGACCUUUCAGGUGUGAAGAUGCUGACUGGACCACCAGAAGAAGCCCCGGCUAACACCGAGCCAGCCGCCGCGGUAAUAC
rnacentral:rRNA from 1 species